UACGGGGGGGGGCAAGCGUUGUUCGGAAUUACUGGGCGUAAAGGGCGCGUAGGCGGUUCGCUAAGUUGAAUGUGAAAACUCUGGGCUUAACCCAGAGCCUGCAUUCAAUACUGGCGGGCUAGAGUUCUGGAGGGGAUAGCGGAAUUCCUGGUGUAGCGGUGAAAUGCGUAGAUAUCAGGAGGAACACCGGUGGCGAAGGCGGGUCUCUGGGCCGAUAUUGACGCUGAGGAGCGAAAGCGUGGGGAGCAAACAGG
rnacentral:rRNA from 1 species